AUUUCAAGUAUAUUCAUAUUUCCUAUAGUUUACUGAAAAUGUACUUAGACAAAUUGUACUUUUUGUAAAUAUAUAAAAAGUAUACUAACAUUACGCUUUCAUGCUAAUACUUUUAACACACUUUAACAUAAUUACACUAUGUUACACUUUAUAGAAAUAUAUUAUUAAAAAAGUAUACUUUAAGUGAAAGUUAUGUGUAAUUUCUAAAGUGUACUUAUUUUAAAUUUGUUUUUACAUAUAUUUUUGCUAUAUUUUAAAUUGUAUGCUCAAAGUUGUCAUUGUAACGUACAUUGAAAGCAUAUUUUAAAAGUACACAUUUUAAUAUCGACACUGUAAUAUUAAGUUUGAGUGCAUUUUAAGUUACAUUUGAAUCUAAUUAUGAAGUGAAGUUAUAUACGCUUGUACUUCAGGUAAUUCUUUUGGAAAGUGUUCAAUAGUAUAACUACAAAAAUGCACUUAAACCCUAUUAUGCAAUUUUGUGCUGUGUGUAAAGUACACAGAUAGCAAUUAUUGCAGUUGUUAUGUAAUGUUUAAUAAGUUUUGAAAAAGAAAUAUGAUACAAUACAUCUUACACACAAAACCACAUUGAACAAAACACUAAAUGUUCACUUCAAAAGUACAGGUGCACAAAAAUGUGUGUUCUGCUGAAAAGCAAGUGGUUUAAAGCUGGUGCAGUGCUACAUUAUGAUCUAACAAAUAGCAUAACCCACAUUGCAACAGAAAAGUUAAUACUGGCCAAAUGCAAAAGAAAUAAACUUAACACAUUACAAUUGUCUCAAGUGUUCAAAAAAGAACAUUUCAUUAGUAUUGUUUAAUGGAUCAAAGCAGGGCUACUGCAAACAAGACCAAUUGGUGAGUGCACAUAUUUAAAAGUCGCUGACAGCACUUCAUGCAUAUAGGAGUGAUAUGUGGAGGUUGUUUGGCCUUGAUGUCUGUAAAGUAGUAGCUCCCCAAGAAUUUUAGUCUUGGGGAGUUUUUGGUUCAGUACUGAUAUCAGAAUUCCCAUAGACUUUGAAUGCACCACACCUGCACAGCAGUUAGUCACGGCUCCUCCCUGCUCAGAGCUAGCGUGCUUUUCUUUUAAGGCCUUGGUCUGCAUGGAGAGAGAAACAGGAGAUGUAAUCGGUUGAGCAGGAAGAUUUGCUGUAUUAUUGUGUUGAAGAAUAUCCUGGCUGUUUUUUUUUUUACAUAGUUGCAGAAUCUGCUGUUACAGCUGAGCAGUUCAUUGUAUGGACUGGACUA